UACGUAGGUGGCAAGCGUUGUCCGGAAUUAUUGGGCGUAAAGCGCGCGCAGGCGGUCUCUUAAGUCUGAUGUGAAAUCCCGUGGCUUAACCACGGGCGGUCAUUGGAAACUGGGGGACUUGAGUGCAGAAGAGGAGAGCGGAAUUCCACGUGUAGCGGUGAAAUGCGUAGAGAUGUGGAGGAACACCAGUGGCGAAGGCGGCUCUUUGGUCUGUAACUGACGCUGAGGCGCGAAAGCGUGGGGAGCGAACAGG
rnacentral:rRNA from 1 species